rnacentral:lncRNA from 1 species
AUGAACACGUUGAAUUUGAGAUUAGGGUCAAUGUCAUUGAGUAGUGCCAUAAAAUCUGACAGUUCUUCUUCAGUUCCUUCCCAUAUAGAAAAAUGUCGUCAAUAUAUCGAUACCACUUCAGGACUUUAUUCAAAAGACUCUAUAGACUUCAUAAACAAGAUCUCACCAAUAACGGGUUUUAAAGAAGACUGUAUUUUGGUCACAUUAGAUGUCGAGAGUCUACAUACCAGCAUUCCCCAUGUGGGGGGGCUGGCAGCACUAGCACACUAUUUGGGAGACAGAGAUACUAAUGAAUAUCCACCAACAAACUUCAUUCUAGAGUUGGCUGAAUAUGUUUUGACGUAUAACUAUUUCAGGUUUGAUGAUGAACACUACCUCCAAACGAAUGGAACAUCGAUGGGCUCUACAUUCGCUCCGAGCUAUGCUAACCUCUAUAUGGGUCUUUUUGAAGAACGUUUUGUUAAUAAUGAAAACGACUAUCCAUUUUUGAAUAAAGUCCUGAAGUGGUAUCAAUAUAUUGAUGUCAUUUUUUGUGCGCAGCCUUGGCAUCACUCCUCCCGGCUGGAUCACCAUUUUAGCCAUACAGAGUGCAGGCACAAGUUGAACCGGGCUGUGGGUGAGCACUGGAGAUCUGGUGCAUACCACUCGCAACUCUCCCUUAGGCUCCAUAACCACAUUCGCCCGGCACGGGCGGAGCGCAGGCAUAGGACGCACUGCACCCUCCCAGAGCCUUGGAGACACAGCACGCAGAGCCGGCGCAGGAUACCCUGGGCCGAAACGGCGCACCGGAGACCAAACACGCUGGGCUGGCACAACACGCCCUGGCUGGAUGCCCACUCUCGCUUGGCACUUGCGGGGGGCUGGCCUAUAGCCCACCAGGCUAUGAGCGCAUACUGGCGACACCGUGCGCUUGACUGCAUAACACUGCGCCUGACCAGUACUGCGCUUCUUCCGGUAAGCACGAGGAGUGGGCUCAGGUCUCUCAGGGCGCCACACUCCCCUUGUUUCCCCCAAAAUGUGUUUUUGGGCUGCCUCUCGUGCCUGUCGUGCUGCCGUGCUACCUCCUCAUAUCGCCACCAGCUCUCGCUGCCUCCAGUUGUUCCUUGGGGCGUCGAUAUUCCCCAGCCUGUGCCCAGGGUCCCUUACCGUCUAAAAUCUCCUCCCAUGUUCAUGAGUCCAGAGAAUGCUGCUGCUCGAUACCACGCUGCUUGGUGGGUGUUUCUGUAA